UGGUGAAAUCAGGGGCUCAUCUUUUA
rnacentral:piRNA from 1 species